UGUCUUUAACUCGACACGUAUGUGACAAGCGACUCGUUAAAUAAGAGUAAAGGCCUGAAGAUGCUGUGUGAAGUUGUGCUGUCAUCUCUCUGGUUCCUGUUUGUCAUAUUUUGGGUGGAGACUGUAAGUGUGUGGCUGUUCCUCUCCAUGUUCCACCGGGACAGGGCAUUUUACCAGUCUGGAGAUGGAGACGACCACAUUCAAGUGGGGAUGCAGACCUGACAGAGGAAGUCUAAUAUAAUAUAAGUGGCUGCUGGACUGGAGUGUGGUGCUGAAAGACUGAAGUCAGCAAUACCUUGUGCUCAACUUUAUUGAAAAUUAAGAUCCUGUUCUUAAAAUAGGUAAAUAUUGCAUAAAAUCUAUGUGAAGGUGAUGCCAGCCUUAGGGGGGUACAGUGGGGUACCUGCUCUGUGAUGGAGAAAACGUCAUUGUAGCUCAGGGGUCUGUUUGAAAAGGGCAGAGAGCUAGUACAGUUCACAUUUGCAAGAAACUGCAGUGUAUAUAUUUUCCACUAUAAACCUCAUGUAGGUCCAGUGAGUUGCUCAUAAUACAUGAACCAUUAUCAAAAGUGCAUAAAGGUAUGCAUCUGAGGGACACAUAUGACUGGAUGAGAGGUAGCUCUAUAGAUAUGGAGGUAUGUAUUUUUACGUGACCUGGACAUAUAGGGAAUUAUCUUUUGUAAUUUUUCAUGGCCUACUCAAGUAGGAUUGUUAAUUAAAAGACACAUGUUACUUGAAAAUAGUUUGAGAGUUUUUUAUGCAAACAAUUACUGCAAUUUUUUACGUUUCAAAGAAAAGUGAU